GCGGCGAUCUACUACCCGCAUAAAGGUAUUGUGUUCUGAACACAUUACAGUAGUGUUUACUGUUCAAUUUCGAAUUUCAAAUUUAAAUGCAUGCAUGCUAUAUAUCAUAUUUAGAUCCUAGUGUAGGAUAAACUCUUAUUAAUUAAUUAGAUUAAUUAAUAAUUUACACAGUAAAAUAGUGAUUUUGAAAAAGUUUUAAAAUUAUCAUUUUACCCUUGCACUGAUUUUCCCACAUGACUACCU
rnacentral:lncRNA from 1 species